AAUAGAUACCCUGGUAGUCCACGCCGUAAACGAUGAGUGCUAAGUGUUAGAGGGUUUCCGCCCUUUAGUGCUGCAGCUAACGCAUUAAGCACUCCGCCUGGGGAGUACGGCCGCAAGGCUGAAACUCAAAGGAAUUGACGGGGGCCCGCACAAGCGGUGGAGCAUGUGGUUUAAUUCGAAGCAACGCGAAGAACCUUACCAGGUCUUGACAUCUCCUGACAAUCCUAGAGAUAGGACGUUCCCCUUUUAGGGGACAGGAUGACAGGUGGUGCAUGGUUGUCGUCAGCUCGUGUCGUGAGAUGUUGGGUUAAGUCCCGCAACGAGCGCAACCCUUGAUCUUAGUUGCCAGCAUUCAGUUGGGCACUCUAAGGUGACUGCCGGUGACAAACCGGAGGAAGGUGGGGAUGACGUCAAAUCAUCAUGCCCCUUAUGACCUGGGCUACACACGUGCUACAAUGGAUGGUACAAAGGGCUGCAAAACCGCGAGGUUAAGCCAAUCCCAUAAAACCAUUCUCAGUUCGGAUUGCAGG
rnacentral:rRNA from 1 species